rnacentral:lncRNA from 1 species
UGAGAGGUUAUCUCAAGCAUCAUAGUGGAAACUCUCACAAGAUUGUGAGGAGUGGACUAGCCCACAUUGGGUGAACCACUAUAAUUCUCUGUGUGUUCUUUCUCUCUUCCCUAUACUCUUUAAUUACAGUAUACACAACACACACUUACACAUUUACUUUAUUAAACUGUUUAUGUGUAUGAACUUCAGAACGUUCUGAAGUCAGAAUAUUAACUUAACUAUUCCAAGUAAACUACUUGAGAAUCACUUUUAAGUUUCAGGUUAAUUUUUAAAGGGUC